AUUCUAAAUGCUAACAUGGAAAGGGACAUACGCUGAGGAGAAAAGGUAUGGCCAAUAGAAGUGGACUUAAAGUUUAUGAACCAGUUGGGUGGGAACUGAAGUCAAUUGGCAAAGAUAAUGAUCAUAUAUCGCAACUGCCUUGGUGAAAUUGUGGAGGCUUUCUGUUUGCCACUAGCUGCAAACUCCGGGCUGGAGGCUGAGAUGAAGGGUCUGUUGGAAACGGAUGCAGAAAUAUUGUGUUCAAUCCUGGAUAAGGGUCAGCUUGGGCCGGCAGAGACGAGACACACCAUGACAGAUAUCAGAAUCGCACUUAAGGGUCUCACUUGGAGGAUAACACAUAUCUACAGAGAAGGCAACAAAGCAGCUGACUUGCUGGUGUCCCUUGGAAAGGAGAGUGUGGAGCCAAAAGAUACACAGGAAGGUCAGUCCCGGCCACAGUUAGAGCCUUGGUGAGACUUGACCAGAUUGGUAUUCCUAAUUUUAGGUGCACUUGACAUUCUUUUGGCUGUUUUGGUAGCUUGGUGAGGAUAGUUUUGAUUUUGUUCUUUCUUUCUGUCUAGUUACUUGGCAUAGAUUUUUGUUAUUUCAUUAUAUAUGGUUUCUUGGGCACUCCACUUUUGGGUUUGUCGGAUUGUAAAAUUUUUUUGUUAUGAUAUAUAUGGGAUG